GGUAUCAGAAGUGCGAAUGCUGACAUAAGUAACGAUAAAGCGGGUGAAAAGCCCGCUCGCCGGAAGACCAAGGGUUCCUGUCCAACGUUAAUCGGGGCAGGGUGAGUCGACCCCUAAGGCGAGGCCGAAAGGCGUAGUCGAUGGGAAACGGGUUAAUAUUCCCGUACUUGGUGUUACUGCGAAGGGGGGACGGAGAAGGCUAUGUUGGCCGGGCGACGGUUGUCCCGGUUUAAGCGUGUAGGUGUGUGUUCCAGGUAAAUCCGGUUCACUUUAACACUGAGGCGUGAUGACGAGGCACUACGGUGCUGAAGCAACAAAUGCCCUGCUUCCAGGAAAAGCCUCUAAGCAUCAGGUAACAUCAAAUCGUACCCCAAACCGACACAGGUGGUCAGGUAGAGAAUACCAAGGCGCUUGAGAGAACUCGGGUGAAGGAACUAGGCAAAAUGGUGCCGUAACUUCGGGAGAAGGCACGCUGACACGUAGGUGAAGUGAUUUACUCAUGGAGCUGAAGUCAGUCGAAGAUACCAGCUGGCUGCAACUGUUUAUUAAAAACACAGCACUGUGCAAACACGAAAGUGGACGUAUACGGUGUGACGCCUGCCCGGUGCCGGAAGGUUAAUUGAUGGGGUCAGCGCAAGCGAAGCUCCUGAUCGAAGCCCCGGUAAACGGCGGCCGUAACUAUAACGGUCCUAAGGUAGCGAAAUUCCUUGUCGGGUAAGUUCCGACCUGCACGAAUGGCGUAAUGAUGGCCAGGCUGUCUCCACCCGAGACUCAGUGAAAUUGAACUCGCUGUGAAGAUGCAGUGUACCCGCGGCAAGACGGAAAGACCCCGUGAACCUUUACUAUAGCUUGACACUGAACAUUGAGCCUUGAUGUGUAGGAUAGGUGGGAGGCUUUGAAGCGUGGACGCCAGUCUGCAGUGGAGCCGACCUUGAAAUACCACCCUUUAAUGUUUGAUGUUCUAACGUGGACCCGUUACCGGGUUGCGGACAGUGUCUGGUGGGUAGUUUGACUGGGGCGGUCUCCUCCUAAAGAGUAACGGAGGAGCACGAAGGUUGGCUAAUCCUGGUCGGACAUCAGGAGGUUAGUGCAAUGGCAUAAGCCAGCUUGACUGCGAGCGUGACGGCGCGAGCAGGUGCGAAAGCAGGUCAUAGUGAUCCGGUGGUUCUGAAUGGAAGGGCCAUCGCUCAACGGAUAAAAGGUACUCCGGGGAUAACAGGCUGAUACCGCCCAAGAGUUCAUAUCGACGGCGGUGUUUGGCACCUCGAUGUCGGCUCAUCACAUCCUGGGGCUGAAGUAGGUCCCAAGGGUAUGGCUGUUCGCCAUUUAAAGUGGUACGCGAGCUGGGUUUAGAACGUCGUGAGACAGUUCGGUCCCUAUCUGCCGUGGGCGCUGGAGAACUGAGGGGGGCUGCUCCUAGUACGAGAGGACCGGAGUGGACGCAUCACUGGUGUUCGGGUUGUCAUGCCAAUGGCACUGCCCGGUAGCUAAAUGCGGAAGAGAUAAGUGCUGAAAGCAUCUAAGCACGAAACUUGCCCCGAGAUGAGUUCU
rnacentral:rRNA from 1 species